GUGAAUCAUCGAAUUUUUGAACGCAAAUUGCACUUUCCUCGGAGAGUAUGCCUGUUUGAGGGUCAGCCUAUAAAAAAACGACAUCGUUGUUGUUUCGCGGUGGCGUUCGUUGGAAAUUGGGUCAUUUUAAAUCCUUUUGAUUUAAGCGACUUAAAAUUUUCUUUUGGUUGCAUGAUUGUUUCUAAGAACUAUUUCUUUAUACGUUUAAGGUUUUGAUUUUUACUAGAUGUGACCAUCAUAUCGGAUCGCGUUCAUUAUUUUUCAUAAACUGACCUUAGAUAGGUAAGAGU
rnacentral:misc_RNA from 1 species